rnacentral:tRNA from 1 species
CCUGGUGGCUCAGAUGGUAAAGCGUCUGCCUGCAAUGCAGGAGACCUGAGUUCGAUCCCUGGGUCAGGA